CGAGAGAAGGCGCCCAGUCCAGUUGUACAACGUGAGUUUCUCCAAAAAAAAAGAGUUGUAUUACCACAGAUUAUGGCAAUGGCGCAUGGCGUGGCGGCGGUGCCACCUCACCUCCGACCCCGGCCACGUGCGGCGGUACCUACGGGGACCCUUCACAUCGCUCCGUGCGGUGCCGCCUCUCCUCCAACCGCGACCUCGUGCGGCCACGCCCACCGCGACUCAUCUCGCCCCAUGCGGUGCUGCCUCUAGUCUCCCCCGACCUCCGACCUCGCCUACCGACCCGCGAGAGAGACCUCCCCUCUUCCUUAUCCUUUCCCUGCCACUUGGAUAUGGAUUUGAUAAUAGUCACAGGAAUAGGAUUUGGAGCAAGGAGCUGGCCAGGAAGGAUGAGCUCAGUGCACACUAUCUAUUUGAUGAUAUGCAGAUAGAUAGAAGGUAUCCAUAAGAAACUGAUUUGGGAUGUUUCUUCUUGAUGGAGCCUCAGUUUCUUAUUCUGAUUUCUUUUCUCUUGAUGGAGCCUUGGCAAGCCUUGAUACUUUGUAUUUGUGAUCGUACUAGGCAAUAUAAGGUCUCCAAUGCACGCAUUAGCCCAAUCUUUAGCUACUCAUAAGCAGUGUCCAGUUGAGGACAAGUACACGCUUGCUAAGCUUAAUGUUUGAUAUAUAAUUCAUUGCCCACAUUUAGUCUGCUCCGAAUCUCUCUUUUUUUUUUGGCUCUUUAGUCUAUGAAGAAUUGCAAGGAGGAGGCCAAUAGAGCAGAUACCAGAGCUGACCAUUGACCAGUAAAUCUUAGCAAGGAAGAGGAGCUCUGUUCUUCUUGAGUUGAUGGAAUAUUGCGACCUGUUAGACAAAGCAGAUGAAUGUGAGGAUCCACACAUGUGUAUGGUAUAUGCUUCUACAUGGGCCUUGUCAGCCUACUUAGCCUACCACCGUACGGGGAAGCCUUUCAAUUCCAUCCUUGAAGAGACGUAUGAGAUGGUUAAACACCAGGGUAUUACAUUUAUCGCUGUGCAGGUAAGCCACAUCCUCCGAUGGGUGUAGCUCACUGUGAGAACGAUCCAUUUACUUACGACAUCACAUCAAAGUUGAAGACAAAGUUCUUGGAAAACUAUGUGGCAGUGUAUCUUGGAAGGUUAUUGAUUGAGAUGUAAUUAUUUGUAUGGAUAUAUUUGUGUCUGAAAGCUGCUGUAAAAGCUGAUGGUCAAAAUAAAAUUGUUUUCAAGGUUCUAUAGAAACCAUUUAUGUUUAUCUAACUCCUGAACGUGUUUCUUCAUCACAGGACUAGAGUGACACUUGCCAAAUCCGGUGUCGUGCUAGAACUGGUACCACCGCUGGCCAAGAUCAACAACUUGAUAUUUGGGUGCACAUGGGUAGACUCCUUUGGAGAGAUGGUCUUGAUAAAUCCGACAACUAGAGACAAAGCUGUGCUGUAUUUCCAGCCAUGCAGCUGGUUUAGAUAUGUUAGCAUCGACUGUCAUCUUCAGUUUAGUUUAUAUAGUUUGAUUCAUAUGUUCUUUUUCUGCUGAUCUUUAUCUCCCAUGACAACACUGUUUGCAUCGGCAUCCCUAGGACCGGUGCCAUCCAAGAUGACCGCCACACUUUUGACCUUUGUCCACACCAGUCAUGACAUCCCCUCAAAGUGCAGCAGGAUGACAAAGGGGGAUCCGUCCUCUCACCAUAGUUUGGCCCUUACGCCGUGUUGUCUCUCCGUGCUUGACGUGAGUCACAGUGUGCCAAAAAAGGUUGUGUAAAUCAAGAACAAUUCUAGCCAAUUAAGCGCAGCAGUAUGUCA